rfam:Picea glauca, whole genome shotgun sequence.
AUGUACAUUCCUACAAUGUUAAUGCACCAUAUCCCAUCAGAACUCCUCAGUUAAGCACGCUUGGGCUAGAUUAGUAAUGGGAUGGGUGACCUCUAGGGAAGUCCUAAUGUUUUACAUG